GACGAACGCUGGCGGCGUGCUUAACACAUGCAAGUCGAACGGAAAGGCCUUUUCGGAGGUACUCGAGUGGCGAACGGGUGAGUAACACGUGGGUGAUCUGCCCUGCACUCUGGGAUAAGCCUGGGAAACUGGGUCUAAUACCGGAUAGGACCGCACUUUAGUGUGUGUGGUGGCAAGUUUUUUCGGUGUAGGAUGAGCCCGCGGCCUAUCAGCUUGUUGGUGGGGUAAUGGCCUACCAAGGCGGCGACGGGUAGCCGGACUGAGAGGUUGGUCGGCCACAUUGGGACUGAGAUACGGCCCAGACUCCUACGGGAGGCAGCAGUGGGGAAUAUUGCACAAUGAGCGCAAGCCUGAUGCAGCGACGCCGCGUGGGGGAUGACGGCCUUCGGGUUGUAAACUCCUUUCGCCAGGGACGAAGCGUUUUGUGACGGUACCUGGAGAAGAAGCACCGGCUAACUACGUG
rnacentral:rRNA from 1 species